GACGAACGCUGGCGGCGUGCUUAACACAUGCAAGUCGAACGGAAAGGCCCCUUCGGGGGUACUCGAGUGGCGAACGGGUGAGUAACACGUGAGUAACCUGCCCUUGACUUCGGGAUAACUUCAGGAAACUGGGGCUAAUACCGGAUAGGAAUCCUUGCUGCAUGGUGGGGGUUGGAAAGCUUCGGCGGUUUUGGAUGGACUCGCGGCGUAUCAGCUUGUUGGUGGGGUAGUGGCUUACCAAGGCUUUGACGGGUAGCCGGCCUGAGAGGGCGACCGGCCACAUUGGGACUGAGAUACGGCCCAGACUCCUACGGGAGGCAGCAGUGGGGAAUAUUGCACAAUGGGCGGAAGCCUGAUGCAGCAACGCCGCGUGCGGGAUGACGGCCUUCGGGUUGUAAACCGCUUUCAGCAGGGGCGAAGCUUGUGGUGACGGUACCUGCAGAAGAAGCACCGGCUAACUACGUG
rnacentral:rRNA from 1 species